rnacentral:misc_RNA from 1 species
UGUAGACUAUGUAGUUGAGGU